AGCCAAAGUUUCAACACAAGCUUCAUAUCACAUUAAAAAUGUUCAGAACGAGAUCUUAAGGUGUACAGCCUUGUGAGCGAAGUGAAGGACAGUUGACAGAUUGUGUGUGGUGCCCCAGCAGUUCAACAAAGGAACAGUUCCAAAUGCAGUUUACAGCCAAGUGAUCUAGUAAUGUGAUCUAAAUUAUGAGAACUAUGACUAAGAGACAUCUGAGAAAUAAAAAGUACCUAUAAUCAGAAUUGUAGCAAGCUUGUACCAUAUUUCUCUUUUUAAGGCAAGUGGUUCUUUCCAAUGUUACAUUUAACUACUUUAAUUUAAUUCAUUUCUUUUCAUGUAUGUUAAAUAAGAACCAGUUUCUUACUACAGACCUAUCAAAGCAAGUAUAUUUUUUUUCUAUGUAUUUGUAUAUUUUAAUUGCAUUUUUCUUUUUUUUUUUUUUUUAUUGCAUGCUAAUUGAAAAUGUUUUAAAUAUUUUCCUAACAAUUUAAGAAUAUUUGUUUUCUGUUAUCUCUUAGCCUUAUGGUAAUUAGUUUCAAAUGUAUACAUAACAACUUUAAUAAAUUUUCUUCACUUUAACAUUUAAAGAGCUAGAUCCAAUUGGGGAUUAUCUCAUUAUGAAGCUUAGUCAAAAUCCCAGUAUCUCCACUAAGACUUUUGAAUAGCAAUUUUUUAUUAGAUGCCAUUUAUUUGUUUAAAUGCUCAGCUACUUGAUAUCUGGUUGAAUUCAAAUGAUAAUAAUUGCAUCUUAAUGUGUAAUUAUACAAUUAUUUAUUUACCUUGUAGUUGUUUUUUUAAUCAGUUCAAGACGUUGAGUAUUGAUUACUAAUCAACUACUAGCCUGGAAGAUAAAAGCCAAAGCUGUAAACAGACAGGUCAGGUAAAUAUAUGAAUGAAGAAAUUAAAUCUAGAAGUAAACAUCAUGGGAAGUCUAAUUAUAGGGCAAGUAUUUUUCCUUCAUAUCUUAUUUAACAUAGUCAAACCAUGCAAUACUUAUAGGCUUAACUAUUGUUUUCAUAGAAACAAUGUUAUUUUAAAUAUCAUGAGAUAGUGUAUUUAAGAGAUAUUGUAGUUCAAGUUUCCAUAUUUAAUCAGCUUAACAAGUGCACAUUCUCUGCUGCCAACAGUACCAAUUUGUCAUCCAAGCAACAAAUAUUCCUUGGUAAUCUGCUAUCAGAUGACAGUUAUCUCUUUGGCAUUUUUAUGAAGCUUUCAAAGCCAAACUUCAGAUUUGCUUAGCAUAUUCCUGUACUACAUAUCAACAAAUGUUUGAUGGUUUGUCUGGUUCAUCUCUUAACACUAUGAAGAUGGCUACACUAAUCUUAACAAGAAAACAUUCUGUUGCCAACAGUACCAAUUUGUCAUCCUAUCCAAGCAACUACUAUUCCUUGGUAAUCUGCUAUCAGAUGAUUACAGUUUUCUCUUUGGCAUUUGUAUGAAUUAAAGCUUUCAAAGCCAAACCUUAGAUUUGGUUAGCAUAACCCUGAACUGCAUAUCAACAAAUGUCUAAUGGUCUGUCUGGUUCAUUUCUCAAGACUAUGAAGAUGGCUACACAGGUAUCAGCUAUCAGCAGUGCACCCCUAUGAUACACAAGUCUUCAUUGCCAAGUCACUCUGCCAAACAGUGUGUACACCUUUCUUGCAUUGGUAGUGACCCACUUUACUGUCAUGAGUCUGGAUAUGUCAGGCCAAGGAGAUCAAGUUUGUGUCCAAGGUUACUUAGUUAAUUCUCUAAGAACAAUAGACAGACUCUACAUGCUACUGAUCUGGAGGUUAGUGGCUCAAUCAUUGUGCACUGAUUCUUCACUGAUGCCUUGAUUCCCCACUGUCAACUUUAUUGUCAUAAAGUUUAUCUAGUGAUCUACAUAUCAAGACUAAAUGGUCAAUUAAACAUGAGGUCAAGGAAAAAGGAUGAACAUUUCAAGGCUACUGAAGGAACAUUAAACGUCUCUCUCACUGUGAAAAGAUUCUACCGAUCUACAAAUGAUCAACAUGUUUUAUCUUAAGUUCGUCUGCCAUUUCUUCAAAUGGAGCCAUAUUAAGAAUAAGAUUCUUUUUGUUCUUCCUUAGGUUCAAAUGUAUCAGUUGUUUUUGUUGACAGAUAUCAAGUUUAGUUGCCUACCAGCAGUUUGGUGCUACAAGUCAACAACAGUCAGACUAAAUUAAAUAAAGCCAUGUCUAUUUCUACAUGAUUUUGUUGCUACUAACCUGGUGUUACUAACAACUAACUUGAAAAGGGAGAGGGGAAUUAUCAUCUUAUUCAUGUACUAUUUACAUUAGAUUUUUACCAAAUUAUUAAAUUUUUACUACCCUUACUAUUUUAACUGUGAAUAGACCUUGAUUUUAAUGAUUUAACUGUAUAGAAUUUAGCCCCUGUUAUGUAGAGAGAGAGAGUAGUCCUUAAGGGACUGCAGGCACGACAUGGCCUAAAUUGUGCAGAUGUGCAUAAAAUCAAAGAAAUAAAACAUUAACAAAAUGUGUAUUAUAAUUGUCACUUUUCCUCUACUUAGAAUUUUUUUCUCUCCUAGAUUUUCAUAAUUUUUUGUUGAAGUCAUUUCAGUUCUCAAUUAUUUUGUGCACCAAGUUACAAGAAAAAAUUUAAGCAAGAGAGGUCACUACACUAAGACUUUGUCUUCUCAUAAGAAAGGAUGGCUGCCUGGUCAUGUGAUAUGUGCACUGGACUGUGUAUGGUCAUCUUGAUGCUCAUAUCUUGCCUGAUGACAUUUAUUCUGCUGAACAUUUGGUCAAGGAAGUAGAUUCUCUUCAGCUCUCAAGAAACAUUCAAAACAUGUCAAACAUUCGACAAGAAUAUCAAGUGCAAUGUACAUACCAACAUGAUGAAAAUGUAGACAACAUGAAGAUGUAGACCAACAUGAUGAAGAUGUAGACCAACAUGAAGAGGUAGACCAGCAUGAUGAAGAUGUAGACCAACAUGAUGAAGAUGUAGACCAACAUGAAGAUGAAAUGUAAACCAAAAAAUGGGUCAAGAGAUGUAUGGAAUACAAUGUGAACAUCUUGAGAAGUAAAACAAUUCCUAGAGGCAAAGACACAGACACACCGGAUCUAUUAGAGAUUUUCCUUUUCUACCAUCAUUUAGAGACUUCCUUGUGCUCUAAGGGAACCUGUCAUUAUCUUUUGAUUGCUAAUUGGCAUUGAUGUUUUUACAUUCCUACUGCGUCUGAAAGAAAUUAACAUUUCCCUAAUGCUACUUGAAAACCAGACCUUCUCAAGACAAUUUUAGUGACCAAGCUGCAAUAUGGGACUCAGUAGGAAACAAUGAAGAAUGCUCCUAACCUCAGGUUGAGUAACCAUGCUCACCUACUAGAGUGGCGACAAAUACUUCUACACCCACAGUUAUACAUCCUGAACCCUGUAACCCAACCUCACAACAUGGUUACAUUACCGGAAGUGGUCGCAAGGUCAGAAAACCUAACAGAUACAAUGGAUAGAACAAUGAACAGGUAAAAGUACUCAAGUGAUGUACUUUGUGAGAACUAUUUAGGUGGAAUCACCAUAAUUGACUUGUAUAAAUCUUGUUCUAUAUUUAGGUAUAUCUUGACAAUCAGUCCAGUCAUUUGUUCAUUUUUUUUUAAAUAUUCCUUUUUUUUUCCCUCAAUCUUCUUGUUGUUUCAGUUACAUGUUUUUGUAUUUUGAAGGAGGAAGGUGCUUUGGUAUAUUAUCGUUAUUAUUAUUGUACCAGUAUUAAGCAAACUUUUAUAUCUUUAAUUAUUCAUGAAUUCUAAAGCAGAACGUCACUUCCACCGGAAAAUGUUGUAACAACUAUACGUGUCUUCAGUUAACAUUCAAUACUCUGUACAGUCACAACGCCAAAGCCUUGCUAGAUUAUGCUUUUAAUUCAAUUUGUUAUCUCCCCUGCUUUAGUGUGCUAUCAUAUAAUUUUUUGUGUCACAUCCCUGCACAAUUUGUUCUAUGCUUUUUUACAGUAUAAAUAGCGACUUGACAUUAUUUAGCUCUAUUAUAAUAUUGUUAUAUUAUUAUAUUUAAAAUAAAACUGUUAACAUAUUCUAUGCUGUUAUAAUAUAAAUGUUUUGCUGUUACCAUGAA